rnacentral:rRNA from 1 species
UGGGGGAUAUUGCACAAUGGGGGAAACCCUGAUGCAGCGACGCCGCGUGAGGGAAGACGGUUUUCGGAUUGUAAACCUCUGUCUUUGGGGACGAAUUCAGACGGUACCCAAGGAGGAAGCUCCGGCUAACUACGUGCCAGCAGCCGCGGUAAUACGUAGGGAGCAAGCGUUGUCCGGAAUUACUGGGUGUAAAGGGAGCGUAGGCGGGAUAGUAAGUUGAUUGUUAAAACUAUCGGCUCAACUGGUAGAUGCGAUCAAAACUGCAAUUCUUGAGUGAAGUAGAGGCAGGCGGAAUUCCUAGUGUAGCGGUGAAAUGCGUAGAUAUUAGGAGGAACACCAGUGGCGAAGGCGGCCUGCUGGGCUUUAACUGACGCUGAGGCUCGAAAGUGUGGGUAGCAAACAGG